GUUUGCUAGCCUACUUUUUUUUUUUUUUAAACAUUUUGGUAAACCAAACAGCGUCAUAUUCCUCUUUCUUUCUGGUUUUCAGACGUAGCAGCAUCAUGGAACUCUGGAAGACCAGUUCUAUUGCUUUUGUCCUCUAGACAAAACUCCACCUUCAUGAGACCCGAAGAUCUCUCCUCAAUUUUUGGUGUUUGAUUGUACCUGCAAGGGGUUGCAAUCGCAAUUGGAGGGUCCAGAGUUUUUUCUUUUGAGAAGUUGUUGUUUAGAAUUUGAUGGAUGAUGGGUUCAAGACAGAAAAGGAGCAGGACAACAAAAGCAAAGGUCAAUAUUUCAUCUUCACUAUCUAAUGUGAAUUUCUGGAAUGCAUAUAUGGAAGGAAAAAUGGCUAUCUAUGAAAGACAACUGGUGAGGGAAAAUAUCGAGGGAGAUUAUGUUCCGUACCAGCCAGUGUUUUCUUCAUCUUUUUAGAAAGUUCUCUAUUUACCCGACAGUGCUAACUCUGUGCAAGGUAUGUUAGUGCUUUCCUUUACCUUCUAUCUGUAUUCUGAUAGUGAAUCAUUUGCUUGUAUUCUCUUUGUUAUGGCUGAAUUUUUGUGCCUUGUAAUUCCCUUUUUCUGAUUUGUUCAUAAUCUUUGCUCGAGCCCUGCUGCUUAUUCUAUAAAUUUGUUCUUUGUUAAUUAGUGUUUGUUCUUCAACUUCUCAAUAUAUAACUGCCUAUGUUCUCUCUUUGUUUUGGUCAUACGUAGCAGUUACUGAUGGUUAACAUUAGAGAUAAACUGAAUAAUAACUAGUAAUUGGCUAUUAGCUAUGAGUUUUGGCCUUUUCGUUGUUCCUUUAUUUAUUUUUUACUUAGAUUCAUCUCUAGCAGUUUUGUUGACUGCUUAGAGUUGCAUGAUUUGCCUGCUGCUUCCCCGUAUCAAGUCAAUAUAUGCUUCCCGUCAUUUACUUUUAGGACAAUUAAGUUACUAUCCAUUUUCUACUUCUUAUCAAUUUUUGCUGUAUUUUGGUGUUUCAAUUCAAUAUAUUCAUUUUUUGUUGCAACUUGGUUUUUUAAGAAAAGUCAAUUUUUGUCAUGGUGUGUUUAGUAAAUAGCUAUUUUGCUAUAGUAUUUGUUUAGAUUUGAACUAUCCUUGUAUAUUGGUUUUUGACAUGUGGUGUUUCUCCUUUGUCAACUUUCUCUUUGUUGCAGGGCUUGCAAAUCCUAUUCGAGGUGUGGUUGUUAUCUCUUCUUCACCUAAUAUAGCAAUCACAAGUUUCCUUUUUUCAUUGCUGCUUGGUAUUCCUUCCUUGUGCCUUUUACUUUCUUUUAGCCAGUUUGUUUUCUUAGCCUUGGCCUCAAUUUUCUGAAUUUAUUUGUAUAUUCUUACUGCCUGAUAAUUGGUGUAUACUCUAAAGCCAUUUAUGUUUUGGCUAUGUUUUGCUGACUAAUGUUCCAGAAAAUUUGGGUGGCUGUUGGUUAUUGGCUAUUGACCUCUAAUUGUAGCCUGUUUUUAAUUACUUUGAUUUAAACUGCUUCCUGUGA